UUUCAAAUCUCCUAUAACCGAUAUAACUGGUGUUCUUAUAAAUCACCAGUGGUUUGGAAAAUGCCAGGAACUUGAAGAAAAAGCUCUCGAUUGUAUGGAAGCUUAUGGUUUGAUAAGAGAAAAAACAGUUUGCAAGGUUCAACGCAAUGGUUGAAGAAAGAGACCGUCAAAUUAAAGCAGGGGAAA